GACGAACGCUGGCGGCGUGCCUAAUACAUGCAAGUAGAACGCUGAAGGAGGAGCUUGCUUCUCUGGAUGAGUUGCGAACGGGUGAGUAACGCGUAGGUAACCUGCCUGGUAGCGGGGGAUAACUAUUGGAAACGAUAGCUAAUACCGCAUAAUAGCAGUUAUUGCAUGAUAACUGUUUGAAAGGUGCAAUUGCACCACUACCAGAUGGACCUGCGUUGUAUUAGCUAGUUGGUGGGGUAACGGCUCACCAAGGCGACGAUACAUAGCCGACCUGAGAGGGUGAUCGGCCACACUGGGACGGAGACACGGCCCAGACUCCUUCGGGAGGCAGCAGUAGGGAAUCUUCGGCAAGGGGCGGAAGUCUGACCGAGCAACGCCGCGUGAGUGAAGAAGGUUUUCGGAUCGUAAAGCUCUGUUGUAAGAGAAGAACGAGUGUGAGAGUGGAAAGUUCACACUGUGACGGUAUCUUACCAGAAAGGGACGGCUAACUACGUG
rnacentral:rRNA from 1 species